rnacentral:ncRNA from 2 species
AGUCCGCACCCGGUAAAGCAUAGCGAGCAGCCGGUACUCAGCCUUGGAGCCGAAGCCGCGAGGUUAGGUUUAAGCGUAGGCAGAGGAGCACGAGAGCCGCAAUGGGAAACCGUGAAGCGAUUCAGCCCCGUAAGCUAUAUAGAGCGGAAGUCGAUAUCGUCUCCUUGGUCGCAGACAGCAAUGUGCAAGCGUUAACGCGAGUUUGUACAGGUUCCGCCGGGGUCCAU